CACAGUAUCGCGAGAGCGAUUAGAGGGCUUUACUUUGGAAUGGCUCUCGCGGUACCAUGAUGUCAAAAAGCAGGUUGUUCUGAGAGCACAAGAAGUCCACCACACCUAAUAAUAAACUCUUUUUGACCGAGGACUCGCACUAUGAAGUACGUAUUGGAGGAUGAAUAGUAGAGCUGAGGGGUCAGGUGUGUGAGGCUCAUGUGCAGGAUGGAUGGACCAUGAGGUUCUACAGUGAUGUGAGCUCCAAAGUGAGUGCCUUGCCGGACAUCUGCUGCUCUUGCAUCUCACAACCCGGCCCAUCUGGCCCAGCCAGUCUUUCCUCUUGACAAAGAUGGUUGUUCCUCAUGCCAGGAACAUUCUUUUUCCAGCCUUUCUUCUUCGCUCUCAUCAUUCACAUUUCUAGAAGAAUAUGUGAGGACCAUCAGAUCCGAAUAUUUGGAAGAAAUUUCUCUUUGAGCUUUGCCACGAGGACCGUUAUGCCCUGAUGACAGGGGAUGUGACACUAUCGGGUAUAUCAGGCCACACCGGUAAUCAUCUCCUGCUAAAACACCAGCUGAGCGAGGAAAAAGGUAGAGAGACUCCAACAACACCCCCUGACCCAAAACCGCCCACUUGCACCAGACAGAAACACAGCAGGCAGCUAAUUAGCAUGUGCUAAUGAGAUCCUGUGCCAAGGUGACCGGCAUUCAAUAGUGCAGGGAAAGCGUGGUGCUUGUAAACACAAUUACAAACAAGCUUGACAAGCUUUGCAACUCAAAACAGCAAAUUUAGUAAAGUGUACACAGAAUAAGCUUUAAAAUAUCUAUAUGUGCCGCAGGGAUAGUUUCCUGAAGUCAUUCUGUGGCUCAGUUGGUACUGGUAGAGCAUAGAGUUGGUUGUGGGUUUGAAUUCAUAGUCUUGAUGAAAAAAUGUAUACCUUUAUUAUACCUUUUAUCCAAAGUGACACUGUAAGUCGCUUUAGUAUAGAUACAAUCAUCCGCCAUAUGCAUGAAUGUAAAUUCUGAUUGUCAAGCACAAAUUUGGGUGUUUGGCCUAGUUUGACCCUUGGUGAUUCUCAUGAAAUCCAGACUUAAAAGGUGUCCAGCAUCAGAUUUUUUUAAAAAGCCAUUGAAGCCAAUAUUUUAUUUUGCACAUAUAAGAUUAGGGUCUGAACUUAAUUUAACCAUUAUUUUUUGAGGAUUUAAAAAAAUAUUUCCUAUAGAAUUAUUUACAUUUUUUAGAUUUUCAUUAUCAAAAAUUAUCAUUACCGCAACAUGUUAUUACAUUAAAUAUAUGCAGUUACAAAUUCAUGUUUCGGUAAUGAGAACUAAAAAGUUGUCUAGGUACUAUGACAAACUAAAUUUCAACUUUUAUCUGGAGAGAAAAAAUAAGAACUGCUUACCUGGUAGCAAUCUUGAGUGUCACUGUCAAUUAUGU